rnacentral:rRNA from 1 species
CCUACGGGUGGCAGCAGUGAGGAAUAUUGGUCAAUGGACGAGAGUCUGAACCAGCCAAGUAGCGUGAAGGAUGACUGCCCUAUGGGUUGUAAACUUCUUUUAUAUGGGAGUAAAAAAGUCUAUGCAUGUCCUAUUGUAUAUACCCUAUGAAUAAGGAUCGGCUAACUCCGUGCCAGCAGCCGCGGUAAUACGGAGGAUCCGAGCGUUAUCCGGAUUUAUUGGGUUUAAAGGGAGCGUAGGUGGAUUGUUAAGUCAGUUGUGAAAGUCUGCGGCUCAACCGUAAAAUUGCAGUUGAAACUGGCAGUCUUGAGUAUAGUAGAGGUGGGCGGAAUUCGUGGUGUAGCGGUGAAAUGCUUAGAUAUCACGAAGAACUCCGAUUGCGAAGGCAGCUUACUGGACUGCAACUGACACUGAGGCUCGAAAGUGUGGGUAUCAAACAGGAUUAGAUACCCGUGUAGUC